rnacentral:rRNA from 1 species
UACGUGGGGUGCAAGCGUUGUUCGGAAUUACUGGGCGUAAAGCGUGUGUAGGCGGCUCGUUAAGUCUGGUGUGAAAUCCCCGAGCUUAACUCGGGAACUGCAUCGGAAACUGGCGAGCUCGAGUCCGGGAGAGGGUGGCGGAAUUCCUGGUGUAGAGGUGAAAUUCGUAGAUAUCAGGAGGAACACCGGUGGCGAAGGCGGCCACCUGGACCGGUACUGACGCUGAGACACGAAAGCGUGGGGAGCAAACAGG